GUGGAUUAGUGGCGAACGGGUGAGUAACACGUGGGCAAUCUGCCCUUCACUCUGGGACAAGCCCUGGAAACGGGGUCUAAUACCGGAUAACACUCUGUCCCGCAUGGGACGGGGUUGAAAGCUCCGGCGGUGAAGGAUGAGCCCGCGGCCUAUCAGCUUGUUGGUGGGGUGAUGGCCUACCAAGGCGACGACGGGUAGCCGGCCUGAGAGGGCGACCGGCCACACUGGGACUGAGACACGGCCCAGACUCCUACGGGAGGCAGCAGUGGGGAAUAUUGCACAAUGGGCGAAAGCCUGAUGCAGCGACGCCGCGUGAGGGAUGACGGCCUUCGGGUUGUAAACCUCUUUCAGCAGGGAAGAAGCGAGAGUGACGGUACCUGCAGAAGAAGCGCCGGCUAACUACGUGCCAGCAGCCGCGGUAAUACGUAGGGCGCAAGCGUUGUCCGGAAUUAUUGGGCGUAAAGAGCUCGUAGGCGGCUUGUCACGUCGGAUGUGAAAGCCCGGGGCUUAACCCCGGGUCUGCAUUCGAUACGGGCAGGCUAGAGUGUGGUAGGGGAGAUCGGAAUUCCUGGUGUAGCGGUGAAAUGCGCAGAUAUCAGGAGGAACACCGGUGGCGAAGGCGGAUCUCUGGGCCAUUACUGACGCUGAGGAGCGAAAGCGUGGGGAGCGAACAGGAUUAGAUACCCUGGUAGUCCACGCCGUAAACGUUGGGAACUAGGUGUUGGCGACAUUCCACGUCGUCGGUGCC
rnacentral:rRNA from 2 species